UACGGAGGGGGCAAGCGUUGUUCGGAAUUACUGGGCGUAAAGGGCUCGUAGGCGGCCAACUAAGUCCGACGUGAAAUCCCCAGGCUUAACCUGGGAACUGCGUCGGAUACUGGAUGGCUUGAAUCCGGGAGAGGGAUGCGGAAUUCCAGGUGUAGCGGUGAAAUGCGUAGAUAUCUGGAGGAACACCGGUGGCGAAGGCGGGUCUCUGGGCCAUUACUGACGCUGAGGAGCGAAAGCGUGGGGAGCGAACAGG
rnacentral:rRNA from 1 species